UCCCCUGGUGGUCCAGUGGUUAGGACUCCACACUGUCACUGCAGUGGGCCCAGGUUUGAUCCCUGGCUGGGGAA